rnacentral:rRNA from 1 species
CCCCUAAAUAGGGACUGGAAUGAACGGCUACAUGAAGACUUUACUGUCUCUUGCCGCUAGUCAAUGAAACUGAUCUCCCAGUACAAAAGCUGGAAUAAUACCAUAAGACAAAAAGACCCUGUGGAGCUUUUAAACCAAGUACACCAAAAUGUUCUAUCACGGUUUUUAGUUGGGGCGACUUCGGAACAAAAUAAAACUUCCGAAACCAUGGAAUCACACCCAUAUCUAAGGCCAACACGCCAAGAUAAUCAUCUACUUGACCCAGUUUACCACAUACUGAUCAAUGAACCAAGUUACCCCAGGGAUAACAGCGCCAUCUUCUUCUAGAGUCCAUAUCGACAAGAAGGUUUACGACCUCGAUGUUGGAUCAGGACACCCAAAUAGUGCAGCCGCUAUUAAAGGUUCG